rnacentral:lncRNA from 1 species
GCCUAUCUGAGCCUCCCAGACACCAGAGGCCCUGAGUCCCCCUCCUCCACCUCUGUCAGCACACACAACCCCACAUGGUCCCUGAGCCCCGGGACAAAGGACAAUGGCAGAUAUGAUCGAGAAAUGGCUAUGCUGUCCCAGAUGGGUGGGUAGUGUUUCCGGGGUGGAGGGGAGCCCUGGGAAGCUGCCUUCCCAGCCUGCACUUCUCCUGCCAGGAUUAGAGCCCAGCCUUGGAUCCCUGCCUCCCUGGUGGAGGACCUAGCCCCAUUCCUCACCCACACCAGACUCUCACCUUCUGUGAC